rnacentral:lncRNA from 1 species
GUUGGGGUUAGAGUUGCUGGUUUGAGUCACUGAGAGGGCAUUUUGGGUAUUUUUGUGCUUUUUAGAUAAAGUUGAGUUAAAAUGUAACUCUUGGAAGGUUGUGGAUAUGGAUGGGAUUUGGGUGUUAGUAGGUAGUGGAGUUAGUUUAAAUUUGAAUUAGUGGCUAAAUUAUAGGGGUUGAGGGGAUAUGGGAUUAAUUAAUUUUUAUUUUAUUUUAUUUUAUUUUAUUUUAUUUUAUUUUUUAUUUCCCUUUUCCGAAAAUUCCCUUCCCAAAUUGCAUAGUCCUCUCCUACUUCCCACUUUCUUCUUGCUCCAUUUUUUUUUUGGUUUUUUUCUUUUUCACUUAAUUUUCUACCCAAAUUGCCCCACAUGAAUCAGCACUUCGGUUUUGGUUCUACUCUCUUUUGGGCAACUAAUAUUCUCUAAGUG